rnacentral:rRNA from 1 species
UAAAAUGGGAGGUAAAUUUCUCCUAAGGCUAAAUAACGGCGAGAGACCGAUAGCGAACAAGUACCGUGAGGGAAAGAUGAAAAGAACUUUGAAAAGAGAGUUAAAUAGUACGUGAAAUUGUUGAAAGGGAAACGAUUAAGGUCAGUCAUACUGAUGGGAAAUCAACUUCUCGAGCGUGGUUUAGUGGGAUCAAAGUGCCUUUGUUCUCGCGAUAUCUGCGUUCUUUUGGUGCACUUUCUUUAUUGUAGGUUAGCAUCGGUUUUGAUCGUCAUAAAAUGACUGGAGGAAUGUGGCUUCGACUUCGGUUGAAGUGUUAUAAACUCUGGUAGAUGUAAUGGUUGAGACCGAGGAUUGCAACGGAUGCCCUUAAGGGCUAUCCGCCUGGCCUCUAAUUGUCACUUUGGCUUCGAAAGCUUGCUUACGAUGUUAAAGUGUGCGGUCAAUAGGUUAGAUCGGAUUAAA